rnacentral:hammerhead_ribozyme from 1 species
AUCCAGCUGACGAGUCCUAAAGAAGACGAGACGCUCGUUCUGGAU